rnacentral:rRNA from 1 species
AUGGUAGGAUAGAGGCCUACCAUGGUGGUAACGGGUAACGGGGUGUUAGGGCACGACACCGGAGAGGGAGCCUGAGAAACGGCUACCACAUCCAAGGAAGGCAGCAGGCGCGCAAAUUACCCAAUCCCGACACGGGGAGGUAGUGACAAUAAAUAACAAUACAGGGUUCUUUGAAUCUUGUAAUUGGAAUGAGUACAAUUUAAAUCUCUUAACGAGGAACAAUUGGAGGGCAAGUCUGGUGCCAGCAGCCGCGGUAAUUCCAGCUCCAAUAGCGUAUAUNAAAGUUGUUGCAGUUAAAAAGCUCGUAGUUGAAUUUCGGGAUCAAUACGUCGGUCGUGCUUUCGGGUACGUACUGGCGUCAUUGGUUUCUCCUUUCUGACGAACCAUGAUGUCAUUAAUUUGGUGUUAUGGGGAGUUAGGACUGUUACUUUGAAAAAAUUAGAGUGUUUAAAGCAGGCAUUAGCUUGAAUACAUUAGCAUGGAAUAAUGAAAUAGGACGUUCGAUCCUAUUUUGUUGGUUUCUAGGAUCAACGUAAUGAUUAAUAGGGAUAGUUGGGGGCAUUAGUAUUCAAUUGUCAGAGGUGAAAUUCUUGGAUUUAUUGAGGACUAACUACUGCGAAAGCAUUUGCCAAGGAUGUUUUCAUUAAUCAAGAACGAAAGUUAGGGGAUCGAAGACGAUCAGAUACCGUCGUAGUCUUAACCAUAAACUAUGCCGACUAGGGAUCGGAUGAUGUUAAUUUUUUAAUGACUCAUUCGGCGCCUUACGGGAAACCAAAGUGUUUGGG